rnacentral:tRNA from 1 species
GGGAAUGUGGCGGAAUUAGCAGACGCGCAUGACUUGGAAUCAUGUGCUGCAAGGCGUGUGGGUUCAAGUCCCUCCAUCCCCA